rnacentral:rRNA from 1 species
AUUGAACGCUGGCGGCAGGCCUAACACAUGCAAGUCGAACGAGUGGCGGACGGGUGAGUAAUGUAUGGGCAACUGCGCGAUGGAGGGGGAUAACUACUGGAAACGGUAGCUAAUACCGCCUACCAUCGGAUGUGCCCAGUGGGGAUUAGCUAGUAGGGGGGGUAAAGGCUCACCUAGGCGACGAUCCCUAGCGGGUCUGAGAGGAUGACCAGCCACACGGGAACUGAGACACGGGCCAGACUCCGACGGGAGGCAGAAGUGGGGAAUAUUGCACAAUGGGCGCAAGCCUGAUGCAGCCAUGCCGCGUGUAUGAAGAAGGCCUUCGGGUUGUAAAGUACUUUCAGCGAGGAGGCGUUACUCGCAGAAGAAGCACCGGCUAACUCCGUGCCAGCAGCCGCGGUAAUAC